GGCAAGGUGACUUAGUGGUUAGUACUGUUGCCUCGCACUUCUGGGGUUGGGGGUUCAAGUCCCACCUCUGCCC